UACGUAGGCAGCAAGCGUUGUUCGGAAUUACUGGGCGUAAAGAGUGUGUAGGCGGUGUUCUAAGUUUGUCGUGAAAUCUCCCGGCUCAACUGGGAGGGUGCGCCGAAAACUGGAGUGCUGGAGCGCGGGAGAGGAAAGCGGAAUUCCUGGUGUAGCGGUGAAAUGCGUAGAUAUCAGGAGGAACACCGGCGGUGUAGACGGCUUUCUGGACCGUAGCUGACGCUGAGACACGAAAGACGUGGGUAGCAAACAGG
rnacentral:rRNA from 1 species